rnacentral:misc_RNA from 1 species
GAUGAAGAACGCAGCGAAAUGCGAUAAGUAGUGUGAAUUGCAGAAUUCAGUGAAUCAUCGAAUCUUUGAACGCACAUUGCGCCCCUUGGUAUUCCAUGGGGCAUGCCUGUUCGAGCGUCAUUUGUACCCUCCAGCCCUGCUGGGUAUUGGGCGUUUUGUUCCGCUACGCGCGUGAACUCGCCUCAAAUGCAUUGGCAGCCCGCCGUCCCGUGUGGGAGCGCAGCACAUUUUGCGCUCUCCGCUGCUGACGGUGGCAUCCACAAGUCUACCAUUUUACGCUUGACCUCGGAUCAGGUAGGGAUACCCGCUGAACUUAAGCAUAUCAAUAGCGGAGGA